rnacentral:rRNA from 1 species
AUUGAACGCUGGCGGCAUGCUUUACACAUGCAAGUCGAACGGUAGAGGGGGCAACCCCUUGAGAGUGGCGAACGGGUGAGUAAUGCAUCGGAACGUGCCCGGUCGUGGGGGAUAACGCAGCGAAAGCUGCGCUAAUACCGCAUACGAUCUAAGGAUGAAAGCGGGGGACCGUAAGGCCUUGCGCGAUCGGAGCGGCCGAUGUCAGAUUAGGUAGUUGGUGGGGUAAAGGCUCACCAAGCCAACGAUCUGUAGCUGGUCUGAGAGGACGACCAGCCACACUGGGACUGAGACACGGCCCAGACUCCUACGGGAGGCAGCAGUGGGGAAUUUUGGACAAUGGGCGAAAGCCUGAUCCAGCAAUGCCGCGUGCAGGAAGAAGGCCUUCGGGUUGUAAACUGCUUUUGUACGGAGCGAAAAGGUCUCCUCUAAUACAGGGGGCUCAUGACGGUACCGUAAGAAUAAGCACCGGCUAACUACGUGCCAGCCGCCGCCGUAA